GGAAUCUUCGGCAAUGGACGAAAGUCUGACCGAGCAACGCCGCGUGAGUGAAGAAGGUUUUCGGCUCGUAAAGCUCUGUUGUUAAAGAAGAACACGUAUGAGAGUAACUGUUCAUACGUUGACGGUAUUUAACCAGAAAGUCACGGCUAACUACGUGCCUAG
rnacentral:rRNA from 1 species